rnacentral:rRNA from 1 species
UGAUGAUUGAUUAGUGGAUCCACCUAGUUCCAUGCCGAACCUAGAAGUUAAGCACUAAAACGCCGAAAAUAGUAUGAUUCGAUCAUGCAAAGAUAGGGGAUUGCCAAUU